UACGGAGGGUGCAAACGUUGCUCGGAAUCAUUGGGCGUAAAGCGCACGUAGGCGGUUCGUUAAGUCGGAUGUGAAAGCCCUCGGCUCAACCGAGGAAGUGCAUACGAAACUGGCGAACUUGAAUAUGGAAGAGGGUCGCGGAAUUCCCGGUGUAGAGGUGAAAUUCGUAGAUAUCGGGAGGAACACCAGUGGCGAAGGCGGCGACCUGGGCCAAUAUUGACGCUGAGGUGCGAAAGCGUGGGGGAGCAAACAGG
rnacentral:rRNA from 1 species